GUCCCCUCGCGAUACCUAGACUAUCGAAAAGGAUCUGGAAAGGCCGCUGCCAAAGCCACAGCUGACCCUCACGAGGUUUUGCAGUCCACUCUGGUGGAGAGCAACGGAAGAUCCCGGCCCGAACCAAAG